UUACCGAGUAUGGGGCGCGAGCCCGUACCCACACCCCCUGCUUACGCUMAAUCGUUGCUUCGGCGGGCUGCGGCCCUGUCCGCUCCCGGCGCCCCCCGUGGCGCGGGGAUGCGCCCGCCGAGGGACCAACCCAAACGCAUGGCAAACGAGUCUGUCCGAGUCGAUUGUGAAUCAGUCAAAACUUUCAACAACGGAUCUCUUGGUUCGGGCAUCGAUGAAGAACGCAGCGAAAUGCGAUAAGUAAUGUGAAUUGCAGAAUUCCGUGAAUCAUCGAAUCUUUGAACGCACAUUGCGCCCGGUGGCAUUCCGCCGGGCACGCCUGUCCGAGCGUCAUUGCAACAAUCAAGCCUGGCUUGGUGUUGGGGGCCCGUCGCGCCUGGCGCGACCCCCCCGGAACCCGUUGGCGGUGGCUCUCUGCCCCGAUCGUCGCGCAUGUUACGACGGGACGGAGGGCCGCCCGCCGAACCCCCCACGACGCGAAGUUUGACCUCGGAUCAGGCGGGGAUACCCGCUGAACUUAAGCAUAUCAAUAAGCGGAGGAAAAGAAACCAACAGGGAUUACCUUAGUAACGGCGAGUGAACUGGUAACGGCUCAAAUUUGAAAUCUGGCACCCGCCCGAGUUGUAAUUUGCAGAGGAUGCUUUGGCAGCGCACCGGUCCAAGUCCGUUGGAACACGGCGUCGCAGAGGGUGACAAUCCCGUCGCGACCGGCCUGCAACGCCAUGUAAAGCUCCUUCGACGAGUCGAGUUGUUUGGGAAUGCAGCUCAAAAUGGGAGGUAAAUUUCUUCUAAAGCUAAAUAUUGGCCCGAGACCGAUAGCGCACAAGUAGAGUGAUCGAAAGAUGAAAAGCAUCUUGGAAAGGAAUCGAAACAGCACGUGAAAUUGUUGAAGGGGAAGCGCUAGCGAUGAGACUCAUCGCGGUCGUUCACCGGGGCCUCGGCCCCGGGCACUCGACCGCGUUGGCCCGCAUCGGUUGGGGCGGUGGGAGAAACGCCAACGGAAUGUGGCUCCCCUCGGGGAGUGUUAUAGCCGUGGUGCAAUACCGCCUGCCCCGACCGA
rnacentral:rRNA from 1 species